UGGGGAAUUUUGGACAAUGGGGGCAACCCUGAUCCAGCGACGCCGCGUGAAGGAUGAAGGUCUUCGGAUUGUAAACUUCUUUUGGAGGGGAUGAAUGCCCUGGUGAAGAGCCAGGGGUGACAGUACUCUCUGAAUAAGCCACGGCUAACUACGUGCCAGCAGCCGCGGUAAUACGUAGGUGGCAAGCGAUACUCGGAAUCACUAGGCGUAAAGCGCAGGUAGGAGGUUUGGUAAGUCUGUUGUGAAAGCUCCCGGCUUAACUGGGAGAGGUCAACGGAAACUACUAGGCUAGAGUGUGGUAGAGGUAGCUGGAAUUCCCGGUGUAGCGGUGAAAUGCGUAGAUAUCGGGAGGAAUACCUAUGGCGAAAGCAGGCUACUGGACCGUCACUGACUCUGAUCUGCGAAAGCUAGGGGAGCAAACAGG
rnacentral:rRNA from 1 species